rnacentral:ribozyme from 14 species
UCUCAAUAUUAUUAAUUUGAUGCUUCUUUCCUUUUUUCUUCUAGUAACUAAGUAGUAUUUGCUACGAGGAGUGAGUAGUAUAGUGGCAGUUUAAAAAAAAAAAAAAAAA